rnacentral:tRNA from 1 species
GGGUUUGUAGCUCAGGUGGUUAGAGCGCACGCCUGAUAAGCGUGAGGUCGGAAGUUCAACUCUUCCCAGACCCACCA